GUUGGAUUGCCUGCUGUCGAAACCCAUUCAUUGUUCUUUGAAAGCUAAAUUUCUCGGGUAAUAUCCACGCGAUCAGUUGCAGUUCAUCCCUGUUAAAUCGCGUAAGGUGGGGUGAAAAUGGAGCCUCACUCAUUUCAAUCGAGUCCCUAUUUUCACCCGUCCAGUCACACCAUGAUCAAGACGGAACCACAGGAGUACCAACAAUAUCCAGCACAGCCAAACCCAAUGAUGAUGAU